UGCAUUGAUGGCUCAGUGAGGCCUUCGGACUGGCGCCGGAGGGUUGGCAACGACCCCCCAGCGCCGGAAAGUUGGUCAAACUCGGUCAUUUAGAGGAAGUAAAAGUCGUAACAAGGUUUCCGUAGGUGAACCUGCGGAAGGAUCAUUACCGAGUGCGGGCCCCUCGGGGCCCAACCUCCCACCCGUGUUGCCCGAACCUAUGUUGCCUCGGCGGGCCCCGCGCCCGCCGACGGCCCCCCCUGAACGCUGUCUGAAGUUGCAGUCUGAGACCUAUAACGAAAUUAGUUAAAACUUUCAACAACGGAUCUCUUGGUUCCGGCAUCGAUGAAGAACGCAGCGAAAUGCGAUAACUAAUGUGAAUUGCAGAAUUCAGUGAAUCAUCGAGUCUUUGAACGCACAUUGCGCCCUCUGGUAUUCCGGAGGGCAUGCCUGUCCGAGCGUCAUUGCUGCCCUCAAGCCCGGCUUGUGUGUUGGGCCCCGUCCCCCCCGCCGGGGGGACGGGCCCGAAAGGCAGCGGCGGCACCGCGUCCGGUCCUCGAGCGUAUGGGGCUUCGUCACCCGCUCUAGUAGGCCCGGCCGGCGCCAGCCGACCCCCAACCUUUAAUUAUCUCAGGUUGACCUCGGAUCAGGUAGGGAUACCCGCUGAACUUAAGCAUAUCAAUAAGCGGAGGAAAAGAAACCAACCGGGAUUGCCCUAGUAACGGCGAGUGAAGCGGCAAGAGCUCAAAUUUGAAAGCUGGCCCCCUCGGGGUCCGCAUUGUAAUUUGCAGAGGAUGCUUCGGGAACGGCCCCCAUCUAAGUGCCCUGGAACGGGCCGUCAUAGAGGGUGAGAAUCCCGUCUGGGAUGGGGUGGCCGCGCU
rnacentral:rRNA from 1 species